GAUCUACUCCGACAAUUGGGAAGGAAAAUAUGUUCAAAAUAAUUAUAACUGUCAAAGGCUCCAAACAGGACACUAAUAAGGUGUCACAUUGCAAAAGGAAUAAUUAACCAGCCUCACGGUCUCGGGGCUUAUCUUAGGAUAUUCGCUUUUAUAUAUGUUGGGCUAUAAUCUGCUUUUUUUUUUUUUUGAGACACAGUCUCACUCUGUCACCCAGGAUGGAGUGCAGUGGUGUAUUCUUGGCUCACUGCAACUUCCACCUUCCAGGUUCAACUGAUCCUUGUGCCUCAGCCUCCCGAGUAGCUGGGAUUACAGAUAUGUGCCACCACGCCAACUAAUGUUUUGUGUUUUUAGUAGAAACUAAAAAUGGGGUUUCGCCAUGUUGGCCAGGCUGGUCUCAAACUCCUGGCCUCAAGUGAUCCACCUGCCUCGAAUUCCGUUUUCAUUGCCUCACCUUGUGCAGAGGCAAAUGCCAUAUUUAUUUCUUCGAAGGGCAAUGCAGCACUCAGUGCAACCCUAACAUCAUUCAGGAAGCAAAACAACUAGUCCGUUCCACAUGUUGGU
rnacentral:lncRNA from 1 species